rnacentral:rRNA from 1 species
AGCGAACGCUGGCGGCAUGCCUAACACAUGCAAGUCGCACGGGGGGGCUUCGGCCUCCCAGUGGCGGACGGGUGAGGAACGCGUAGGGACCUGUCGAGGGGUGGGGGAUAACCGCGGGAAACUGCGGCUAAUACCGCAUGACGCCGCGGCGUGACAGCCGGGGCCAAAGGCGAAAGCCGCCCGCCGAGGGGCCUGCGUCCGAUUAGCUGGUUGGCGGGGUAGCGGCCCACCAAGGCGUCGAUCGGUAGCUGGUCUGAGAGGGUGAUCAGCCACACCGGGACUGAGACACGGCCCGGACUCCUACGGGAGGCAGCAGUGGGGAAUAUUGGACAAUGGGCGCAAGCCUGAUCCAGCAAUGCCGCGUGGGUGAAGAAGGUCCUCGGACUGUAAAGCCCUUUCGGCGGGGACGAUGGUGACGGUACCCGCAGAAGAAGCCCCGGCUAACUUCGUG